CCGCACUAGAUGGGGAGCUGGCGGUGCCCUGUACCCGCAAACCGCUAUAGCGGGGUUGAAGCACCACCCCCGGGUUUAGCUUGUGGGGUCCGGCCCCUGUAAGGGGUGUUGACGACCGGGUCUUGCGCGACGGAGACUCCUGAACCGUGUCAGGUCCUGACGGAAGCAGCACUAAGGGAUGCACUGCGGGUGCCGUAAGGGUGCCUGGUCCGAGCUGCCUGCAGAGGUAACGCCCGGAAGCUAUUAUUCAAAGGUGGGUGUGCGG
rfam:Peptococcaceae bacterium BRH_c4a BRHa_1001218, whole genome shotgun sequence.